rnacentral:misc_RNA from 1 species
UUUCCGUAGGUGAACCUGCGGAAGGAUCAUUAUUGAAUGAAACACUUCUGGCUUUAUGCUGUUGUGCUGGCCCUUUGGGCAAUGUGCACACGGCUCUGGUCACUUGUUUCUUCUGUUCCACCUGUGCACUGCCUGUAGACACGCUGUGUCUAUGAUAUUAGUUAACACACAACAAUGUUAGUUGGCAUGUUAUAUAUAAUAAUAAAAUAUACAACUUUCAACAACGGAUCUCUUGGCUCUC